rnacentral:lncRNA from 10 species
GAGGUGGGCGGAUCAGGUCAGGAGAUCUAGACCAUCCUGGCUAACACGGUGAAUCCCCAUCUCUACUAAAAAUAGAAAAAAAAUUAGCCGGGCGUGGUGGCGGGCGCCUGUAGUCCCAGCGACUCGGGAGGCUGAGGCAGGAGAAUGGCGUGAACCCGGGAGGUGGAGGUUGCAGUGAGCCGAGAUUGCGCCACUGCACUCCACUUGCCGCCAGGCGCGGUGGCUCAUGCCUGUAAUCCUGGCACUUUGGGAGGCUGAGGCGGGUGGAUCACAAGGUCAGGAGAUCGAGACCAUCCUGGGUAACAUGGUGAAACCCCGUCUCUACUAAAAAUAAAAAUAAUCAGCCGGGUGUGGUGGCACGCACCUGUAGUCCCAGCUACUCAGGAGGGCGAGACAGGAGAAUUGCUUGAACCUGGGAAGCGGAGGUUGCAGUGAGCCAAGAUCACGCCACUGCACUCCAGCUUGGGCGACAGAGCGAGACUCCGUCUC